AUUGAACGCUGGCGGCAGGCUUAACACAUGCAAGUCGAGCGGAGCGAGGGUGCUUGCACCUUAGCUUAGCGGCGGACGGGUGAGUAAUGCUUAGGAAUCUGCCUAUUAGUGGGGGACAACAUUCCGAAAGGAAUGCUAAUACCGCAUACGCCCUACGGGGGAAAGCAGGGGAUCUUCGGACCUUGCGCUAAUAGAUGAGCCUAAGUCGGAUUAGCUAGUUGGUGGGGUAAAGGCCUACCAAGGCGACGAUCUGUAGCGGGUCUGAGAGGAUGAUCCGCCAAACUGGGACUGAGACACGGCCCAGACUCCUACGGGAGGCAGCAGUGGGGAAUAGUGGACAAUGGGGGGAACCCUGAUCCAGCCAUGCCGCGUGUGUGAAGAAGGCCUUAUGGUUGUAAAGCACUUUAAGCGAGGAGGAGGCUCUUUUGGUUAAUACCCAAGAUGAGUGGACGUUACUCGCAGAAUAAGCACCGGCUAACUCUGUGCCAGCCGCCGCAGUAA
rnacentral:rRNA from 1 species